rnacentral:rRNA from 1 species
UACGUAGGGGGCGAGCGUUGUCCGGAGUUACUGGGCGUAAAGCGCUUGUAGGCGGUCCACCAAGUUUGGGGUGACAGUUGCCGACUUAAUCGGCAAAGUGCCUCAAAGACUGGCGGACUUGAGGGCCACAGAGGGACAUGGAACUCCAGGUGUAGUGGUGAAAUGCGUAGAUAUCUGGAGGAACACCGGUGGCGAAGGCGGCGUUCUGGACUGCAACUGACACUGAGGAACGAAAGCCAGGGGAGCAAACGGG